rnacentral:lncRNA from 1 species
AAAUUUGAUAUACACGUACUCAAAAUUUUUAUACAACCUACAAUGCCAAAAUGUACAGGCACAAAUAAAUGUAUUUUCUCUGUUGGAUUUCAUUCUGAAUGCUUGUUUUCCCUUAGCUUAUUUUUAUAUUCUCUAGAAGUAACCCACAGACUAUCAACUAUAAAUCAUGCAGGGCUGGGUAAUCUUCUUAAAUAGACAUAUAUUAGAUUUACUUCACCUACUUUCCUAUUCUGUCACUGAUCAUGAAUUAAGGUCCUUUAUCUUAUCCACCUUUAAUGUCAAAUUAAUAAUGAAAUAUAUAUUACUGGACAGACUUAAGGAAAACUAGAUCUUAAAAGAAUUAAUAAUCUCAAAAGACAGGUGUUUGCCAAAAGUUAUACAUAGCAAAUAUGCUAUUUAUUAAAAUGCAGACCCUCAUUCUAGAUGGCAUAUGCCUAUUAAUCCUACAGUAAAAGUAUAGUCAUGUAUCACAACCAUUUAGGGACAGUAGAUGUAGCACAUUCCAUGUGGAGAUUUUUAAAAAGACAAAACAGUAUCUACUGCCAAAAGCCUUAUCAUCAGGGCCUUAAUAGCCCAAACUUCCAAACCCAAAGAUCUGCACGGUCUAACUUAUACAAAAUUCCAAAUUUUUUUCUUUUUAAAUUCUAUACUUUUGCAAACUUGGAACUCACAAAAACUAUUCUAUUAUCUGAUAUAUAAGAUCAAAGUAGUGAAUUAUGAGUAAAAAACAUUUUCCCAUUUUGUUAUUUCUAACAGGAAAGACUACAAACCAUAGCCAAUGCAUUUUGUUUGUCUAGCAUUAGUAAGUACUUCUCUUUGGGGAUUGAAAACUUAACGUAGACUCAACAUUAAUAAUAAUUGCUUGUUUUCAGAAUGGGACAUAUACUUCUAUAGGAAAAGCUGAUUUGUCCAUGUUUUAGACCUAUAUGUUUUGUUUUCUGACUGAUUACUGACUUGUAGCAGAGCAAUUUACAUACAUGCCUUCUGUUAGUCAAAAACAAAAGGAGUAUCUACACCAAAACUAUUCAUUGUAUAUAACAUAUAUAACACAUGAGAAACAACUUUAUCUAUAAUGGAUUAUCACUUUGACUUUUUUUUACAUAAGUUAAAAAGGGCUUAAGUAUAUGGGGGAGAAAAGGAAGAAUAUAAUAAAAAUUGGAACAAAAUUUCUAUCUGAAAAAUUAAAGAAUGCUGACUCCAGGUUAAAAUGAAGUCAUAACAGCUUUCCUUGACACUGGUCCCAAUUUCCCUUUGAAAUACAUAUGAAUUCAUUAAGAGGUAGACAAGAAGAAAGUAAACUGCCAUGUAUUCCAGUUUCUGGCCCCAAGAGUUGGAUCAAAGAGAAAACUGGGUCGACCCCUGCAGCUUUCAGAGGCAGAAAGGAUUCUAUAAACUUCCCCAAACCCUUCCAUAGCUAAGAUCAGUAAUCUCCUCCCUGUAUCCAUUUAGAAUUGUACUGUACCACACAUAGAAGGUAUGGUUUCCAAACAUAAACUAUAGUCAGGAAGAAACAAGAUUCAUUCUAGGGGUAAUAUAUACCAAAGAUUAUAGUUCUUUCACAUUCUCUACCUGGUUAGUUAAAUUGGUUUGUAUUCAUUAGAUUAUAAAUCCUUUUCCUCAUCCCUAAAUGCCAAAGAACUAGGCUGUGUAAACAGCAGACCAACCCCUGACAUUUCAACAGAACCCACGGUAGAUAGGGGCUGUUCAUACCUACUCAUCCAACUUUUUAGGUUCGUUUUUUUCUCCCAACUUUCUAGGUUCUGCUAAAAGUCAUCUC